rnacentral:rRNA from 1 species
AGUGAACGCUGGCGGCAGGCCUAACACAUGCAAGUCGAACGAACGCAUAGUAAGAGCUUGCUUUUACGGGUGGCGAGUGGCGGACGGGUGAGGAAUGCAUCGGAAUCCACUUUUACGUGGGGGAUAACGUAGGGAAACUUACGCGAAUACCGCAUACGACCUACCGCUGAAAGCAGGGGAUCUACGGACCUUGCGCGAUUGAAUUAGCCGAUGUCGGAUUAGCUAGUUGGCGGGGUAAAGGCCCACCUAGGCGACGAUACGUAGCUGCUCUGAGAGGAUGAUCAGCCACACUGGAACUGAGACACGGUCCAGACUCCUACGGGAGGAAGCAGUAGGGAAUCUUGGGCAAUGGGCGAAAGCCUGAUCCAGCCAUGCCGCGUGGGUGAAGAAGGCCUUCUGGUUGUAAAGCCCUGUUGUUGGGAAAGAAAAGCAGUUGAUUAAUCCGCCGCGGUACUGACGGUACCCAAAGAAUAAGCCCCGGCUAACUUCGUG